rnacentral:lncRNA from 1 species
CUUAAAUCUUUCAUCAGUUGUGCUAUUUAUACAAUUGAGGUUAACAGCCCCCGGUUGACAAUUAGACACAUGAGAGGAGGGCCCAUGCUGAAUAAAAAAAUCAUGAGUUUCUCCUCUUGUGAAUACAUUGUCAACCGGGGUUGUCAAUCCUAAUUGUACAAGAGGAAUAAUUCAUCUUUCAUUUAUGCAUAGGUGUAAAGAAAGAUCAUAGUGGUGUGUUGACAGUGUUGUUUGGAUGGUAAAUGUUCUUUGACUUUUAUGAUAACGGGUUUCUUUGGUUGUGCUGGUGGUGAGGAGUAUGCUUCUGGGGAGGCUUUGCUACGAUUGUAUCCGUUUGGUAACCCAACUACUAAUUGUUCUACGUUUAGAAUUCGUUUCCCUUUUGCUUGUGUGUUUGAAGAAGAAUGGAAAAGAUAUGAUUAUUUGGUCUAAAAUUUUGUCUAAUGCGGCUUGCUACUCAUUUAAUUGAUGUCUAAUAUAGCUUUUUGAUUGUUCAACAGAUGUCCAAUGUAGCCUCUUCAAAGAUUGUGCUUUACAUUUAACUUAUGGGAUCUGGUUUUUGAUUAUGUGUUUGCUUUCUUAAAUUUUUUCAUGACAGGAAAUGCACCAAGCUCAAUAAACCAAAUGACAGUUACACAAAUGGAAGGUGAUCAGUUAAAUAAUUUACAUUUGUUACUCCUACAUUGCUUUUAUCAUUAUCCUUCAACUGGAAUACUAAAUUGUAUUUCUAUUCAUUAUAGACAUUAAUUAUCUAUUUCUGUAGUGGGAUGUUUGUUUUAAUUGGAAAUCAUGUCCCAAAUUCAAGUCCUCUUAUAAUGACUUAACAGAGUGAUGCAGUUUUUUUCAGUUCGAACUUCAAAAUUAAGGAACUGUAGGCGUAUAAUUACAAUUUCUUGUGACAUUUCUAUUAUCUCUUCUAAUUGAUCACACUAUUUGAAUAUGGUGGAUUGAUUCUUGGAAAAAUACAUGAAGCACUUAAAAGACAUAUUGUGCCUGAGAAGUGGAUACGAAUAAAUCAUUGAUCAUAGAUGACAGAUGAGAGGAUGAAUACAGCUCGUCAUAUCUUUUGUUGCUAAAAUGUUUCGAAGUAGAAAAGGAGAAAUAGAAAAAUACCCCUUCAUUAUUCCCCAUUUCAUAUUUAUUGCAAAUAAGUUAAAUUCUAGUUGUAUAUGGAGGGUCUAUGUAAACGUGUCGACUUAUAUUUUUAUAUGAACUAAUCUGGUUUGUAUCUAUUUCACAUUUGUUUAAACAUUGAUAUUUUUAUAAUAACUAACUUGGUUUAGGCUACAUAUUAAAAGUAGCAUAAUGUACUUUUUUGUUUCAUGUAAGUCGUUGUUCAAUAGGUUUUGUCCAUUUAAGUGUUAUUUAUCAUAUUUCCUUAAAUGAGUACUGAAUAACAUUUGCUUAUAGUUAAAAGUGGGAUCCAUGAAAGAGUAAUAAUUAAAAACCUCUUCUUUACUUUUUGUGGAAUUAAUUAGUAGCAUUGUUCAAAGGAAAUACAGCUGCAAAAAAAUUAAUGUACUUGCUUCUUUGGUCUCCGUACAUGCAUAAAUUUAUAUUUUACGUUCUUAGGCUUGCCAUUUGAUUAAUUGCUCAAUUUCUUUAAUGCCUUAAAAACAGUUCCGUCAAUGAGGAAGAAGUGCCUGUGAUUGAUGUUAUAUAGUUCGGGUACUUUAAGGUUUUGGUUACUGGAGUUUUACCGGAAAAUUAGUUGGUGGUUGUUAAGGCUAAGCUUGUGUGGAAGAUUGUUGAGAAGAAAAUUAUGGGGGACGAUGGUGCUGUUUUACUAAUUAUUGAGUUUGUUGUUUUUUUUUAUUUUUUUAAAUGUAUUAGAUUUUUAGGUGCUUUAAAAUUUGGGAUUUGAAUUUUGUACAGAUAUUGUUACAUUUUGGGGUUCAAUUAAUAAUGAUUAUUGGAG